GUGUCGAGUGCACGUCCAGAGCAUGGUACGGUCUGGUGCGUAUUUGUCUGUGAUGACGUCAGAAAGGUGGGUCAAAGGUGAGCGCCGGUUCAGUCCAGCCUGCUCGGCCAGUCUUCAACACAGCUGUAUCCUGCCUGUAGCAGAAAGUUUAAAAAAACAUGCCGCUGGCUCACAUCAAAACCAACCUGUCCCCGGACCAGUUCAGCGAUGACUUCAUGAAGGAGACGUCUCAGAUGAUCGCAGAGCUCCUCGAGAAGGAGGAAUGGAGGGUGACAGUUCACGUGGAUGCUGGGCAGAGGAUGCUGCGGGCGGGCUCCUUCGAACCCUACAUCCAGUUCGAGAUCGCAGCCAUCAAGUCCUUCGACGACGAGGCAGACAAGGAGAAGUACUCCAAGGCCUUCUUCGACUACCUGUCCGAGAAACUACCUGUCAAAUACGACAGAAUCGUGGUGAUUUUCCACCGGCUGGCGUCAGAGGAUGUCGGCAUAAAGGGAACCCUGAACUCCAUUCUGGUGAAAAAAUAGUGUUGCUGUGACAACAAUGUACAAGUCUGUCGGAUAUCAUACUUAUCGCUAUUGCUAGCUUAAUUCUGAAUAAAAAAUUCCGCUAAAUCAUUCCUAUUAGCUACAUUAUGUGGAUUGUCAUAUCCAUAUUCAUUAAACACAUAUCAUCAACAUUUUAAAGUUAUAAGAUCCUGAUAACUAGGGUGAUAGGACGUUCGAUGUAACAUGUUACAGCUUUGUCGCACAAAUUUUUUUACAAUGUAUCCGCGUGGCAGUUUCUAUAUUACCAGUCAUUUCCUCUCACGUGUUUACAAGGCCGGAGUGCUGUAUAGUUAUUGGGUGGUAAGACUUGUUCAUAUAUUACACAAAAAUGAUGCUACAGAUGUUACAGUUCAAAACAGGAAGGCAACACGAAGCGCUGCUUGUAAACUAGUGAAUGACAAUGGACGAUCAUACAUAUGAACUCAAGAUAACUUGAUAAACGUUUUAGAUUGAAGCCAAUAUUAAAAGUAUUUAAGGUACAGAUAGUUUGAAUUUAUAAUGAUGAAAAAUAUUAUAUUUCAUGUGAAGCUUGAUGCUAGUUUGUACUUGAAAAUCUUGAAAUUAAAGAAACUCAUGAUGACAA